rnacentral:misc_RNA from 1 species
AACGCAAAUCGCGCUCGAGGCCUCGGCCGAGAGCAUGCCUGCCUCAGCGUCGUGCCAACCCAUCCUCCCCUUCGAGCACGAAGGGGGAGGGAGCUGGUCGUUCCGAUUGUCGCGAUCGGAUCGGCUGAAACGCAGAAGGGCCCUCCCCUCCGAGAGGGCGCCCGAAAGGUGGUGGUGAUCUACACCUAUCCGAUCGGCGCCCGAGCGGGAGAGUGCCCUAUCGCCGGAAGCGCAGACCUCUGACCUGAGUUCAGGCAAGGCUACCCGCUGAACUUAA